CGGGAAAUAGCUCAGCUUGGUAGAGCGCUGCGUUCGGGACGCAGAGGUCGCAAGUUCGAAUCUUGUUUUCCCGA
rnacentral:tRNA from 7 species